ACCGGCGCACGGGUGAGUAACGCGUAUGCAACCUACCUUUAACUGGAGGACAGCCCCGAGAAAUCGGGAUUAAUACUCCAUAAUAUUUUGAUACCGCAUGGUAUUAUAAUUAAAGCUCCGGCGGUUAAAGAUGGGCAUGCGUGACAUUAGUUUGUUGGUAAGGUAACGGCUUACCAAGACUUCGAUGUCUAGGGGUUCUGAGAGGAUUGUCCCCCACACUGGUACUGAGACACGGACCAGACUCCUACGGGAGGCAGCAGUGAGGAAUAUUGGUCAAUGGUCGAAAGACUGAACCAGCCAUGCCGCGUGCAGGAUGAAUGCGCUAUGCGUUGUAAACUGCUUUUCUACAGGAAGAAACCUACCUACGUGUAAGUAGCUGCCGGUACUGUAGGAAUAAGCACCGGCUAACUCCGUGCCAGCAGCCGCGGUAAUACGGAGGGUGCGAGCGUUAUCCGGAUUUAUUGGGUUUAAAGGGUGCGUAGGCGGAACUUUAAGUCAGUGGUGAAAUCCUGCGGCUCAACCGUAGAACUGCCAUUGAUACUGAUGUUCUUGAAUGUAGUUGAGGUAGGCGGAAUGUGUAAUGUAGCGGUGAAAUGCUUAGAUAUUACACAGAACACCGAUUGCGAAGGCAGCUUACUAAACUAUGAUUGACGCUGAUGCACGAAAGCGUGGGGAGCGAACAGGAUUAGAUACCCUGGUAGUCCACGCUGUAAUCAUAAUCACUCGUUGUUUGCGAUAUAUUGUAAGCGACUGAGCGAAAGCAUUAA
rnacentral:rRNA from 1 species